rnacentral:rRNA from 1 species
GUCCAGACUCCUACGGGAGGCAGUAGUGGGGGAUAUUGCACAAUGGGGGGAACCCUGAUGCAGCGACGCCGCGUGGGUGAAGAAGCGCCUCGGCGCGUAAAGCCCUGUCAGCAGGGAAGAAAGUGACGGUACCUGAAGAAGAAGCCCCGGCUAACUACGUGCCAGCAGCCGCGGUAAUACGUAGGGGGCAAGCGUUAUCCGGAUUUACUGGGUGUAAAGGGAGCGUAGACGGCCAGACAAGUCAGAAGUGAAAGCCCAGGGCUCAACCCUGGGACUGCUUUUGAAACUGCCGGGCUGGAGUGCAGGAGAGGUAAGCGGAAUUCCUAGUGUAGCGGUGAAAUGCGUAGAUAUUAGGAGGAACACCAGUGGCGAAGGCGGCUUACUGGACUGUAACUGACGUUGAGGCUCGAAAGCGUGGGGAGCAAACAGGAUUAGAUACCCCAGUAUC